rnacentral:rRNA from 1 species
AUAACGACUCUCGACAACGGAUAUCUCGGCUCUCGCAUCGAUGAAGAACGUAGCAAAAUGCGAUACUUGGUGUGAAUUGCAGAAUCCCGUGAACCAUCGAGUUUUUGAACGCAAGUUGCGCCUAAAGCCAUUAGGUUGAGGGCACGUCUGCCUGGGCGUCUCGC